AGGAGUCAUAGUUCCACUAAUCAGGAGGUCUAGAAGGAGUCAUAGUAGCACUAAUCAGGAGGUCUAGAAGGAGUCAUAGUACCACUAAUCAGGAGGUCUAGAAGGAGUCAUAGUAUCACUAAUCAGGAGGUCUAGAAGGAGUCAUAGUUUCACUAAUCAGGAGGUCUAGAAGGAGUCAUAGUUCCACUAAUCAGGAGGUCUAGAAGGAGUCAUAGUAGCACUAAUCAGGAGGUCUAGAAGGAGUCAUAGGAGCACUAAUCAGGAGGUCUAGAAGGAGUCAUAGUACCACUAAUCAGGAGGUCUUGAAGGAGUCAUAGUAUCACUAAUCAGGAGGUCUAGAAGGAGUCAUAGUUCCACUAAUCAGGAGGUCUAGAAGGAGUCAUAGUAGCACUAAUCAGGAGGUCUAGAAGGAGUCAUAGGAGCACUAAUCAGGAGGUCUAGAAGGAGUCAUGGUUCCACUAAUCAGGAGGUCUAGAAGGAGUCAUAGUUCCACUAAUCAGGAGGUCUAGAAGGAGUCAUAGUAGCACUAAUCAGGAGGUCUAGAAGGAGUCAUAGUACCACUAAUCAGGAGGUCUAGAAGGAGUCAUAGUUCCACUAAUCAGGAGGUCUAGAAGGAGUCAUAGUAUCACUAAUCAGGAGGUCUAGAAGGAGUCAGUACCACUAAUCAGGAGGUCUAGAAGGAGUCAUGGUUCCACUAAUCAGGAGGUCUAGAAGGAGUCAUAGUACCACUAAUCAGGAGGUCUAGAAGGAGUCAUAGUAUCACUAAUCAGGAGGUCUAGAAGGAGUCAGUACCACUAAUCAGGAGGUCUAGAAGGAGUCAUAGUUUCACUAAUCAGGAGGUCUAGAAGGAGUCAUAGUUCCACUAAUCAGGAGGUCUAGAAGGAGUCAUAGUUUCACUAAUCAGGAGGUCUAGAAGGAGUCAUAGUACCACUAAUCAGGAGGUCUAGAAGGAGUCAUAGUUUCACUAAUCAGGAGGUCUAGAAGGAGUCAUAGUAGCACUAAUCAGGAGGUCUAGAAGGAGUCAUAGUACCACUAAUCAGGAGGUCUAGAAGGAGUCAUAGUAUCACUAAUCAGGAGGUCUAGAAGGAGUCAUAGUUUCACUAAUCAGGAGGUCUAGAAGGAGUCAUAGUUCCACUAAUCAGGAGGUCUAGAAGGAGUCAUAGUUUCACUAAUCAGGAGGUCUAGAAGGAGUCAUAGUACCACUAAUCAGGAGGUCUAGAAGGAGUCAUAGUUUCACUAAUCAGGAGGUCUAGAAGGAGUCAUAGUAGCACUAAUCAGGAGGUCUAGAAGGAGUCAUAGUACCACUAAUCAGGAGGUCUAGAAGGAGUCAUAGUUUCACUAAUCAGGAGGUCUAGAAGGAGUCAUAGUUCCACUAAUCAGGAGGUCUAGAAGGAGUCAUAGUAGCACUAAUCAGGAGGUCUAGAAGGAGUCAUAGGAGCACUAAUCAGGAGGUCUAGAAGGAGUCAUAGUACCACUAAUCAGGAGGUCUAGAAGGAGUCAUAGUUUCACUAAUCAGGAGGUCUAGAAGGAGUCAUAGUACCACUAAUCAGGAGGUCUAGAAGGAGUCAUAGUAUCACUAAUCAGGAGGUCUAGAAGGAGUCAGUACCACUAAUCAGGAGGUCUAGAAGGAGUCAUAGUUUCACUAAUCAGGAGGUCUAGAAGGAGUCAUAGUUCCACUAAUCAGGAGGUCUAGAAGGAGUCAUAGUAGCACUAAUCAGGAGGUCUAGAAGGAGUCAUAGGAGCACUAAUCAGGAGGUCUAGAAGGAGUCAUAGUACCACUAAUCAGGAGGUCUAGAAGGAGUCAUAGUAUCACUAAUCAGGAGGUCUAGAAGGAGUCAUAGUUCCACUAAUCAGGAGGUCUAGAAGGAGUCAUAGGAGCACUAAUCAGGAGGUCUAGAAGGAGUCAUAGUUCCAAUAAUCAGGAGAUCUAGAAGGAGUCAUAGUUCCACUAAUCAGGAGGUCUAGAAGGAGUCAUAGUUCCAAUAAUCAGGAGGUGUAGAAGGAGUCAUAGUAGCACUAAUCAGGAGGUCUAGAAGGAGUCAUGGUUCCACUAAUCAGGAGGUCUAGAAGGAGUCAUAGGAGCACUAAUCAGGAGGUCUAGAAGGAGUCAUGGUUCCACUAAUCAGGAGGUCUAGAAGGAGUCAUAGUUCCACUAAUCAGGAGGUCUAGAAGGAGUCAUAGUAGCACUAAUCAGGAGGUCUAGAAGGAGUCAUAGUUCCACUAAUCAGGAGGUCUAGAAGGAGUCAUAGUAUCACUAAUCAGGAGGUCUAGAAGGAGUCAUAGUACCACUAAUCAGGAGGUCUGGAAGGAGUCAUAGUUCCACUAAUCAGAGCUCCUAAAAUGACUCCACACACAGUGAACUACUUUCUCCAUCCAGCUGUAAAAACAGACAUCAGCUGCUUCAGACUUGGUUCAGGGGUUCUCCAUGGAAACCAGAGUUAGAGUGAAGCUCAGACAGUGUGAUCCUCUCCUACAUGUAUGAUCCUUCUCUACAUAGAUGAUCUUGUCCCCACCACUACAUGGUUAUAGAUGAGCUUCAUCUUCUGAGUUUUGAACAUGUGAAGUUAUUUUCUAAUCUGUGUCUUGUUCUGAAAGUUCUAAAUGUUUUGUCCCCUGGGUUAGCCCUGGGUUGGUCCUGGGUUAAUCAAACACCUGUUCCACCUUCAGGCCAUCAGUUUUUCUGUAGAAGCUCUGACUUAGUGGAACCUGAUGACAUGAAGAACAGUUUUUAGAACAGCCUGGAGAACCUGCUGCAGAAACCACUGAAGUGUUUUAACUCUGUGUGUGUGUGUGUGUGUGUGUGUGUGUGUGUGUGUGUGUGUGUGUGUGUGUGUGUGAUGUUGUAUUUUAUAGUGCAGCUCUUUUCAUAUUCUAUGUGUUCAUUGGGACCUGCUGAUGGAUGGAGAUGAUCAAAGCUGACGCUGUUGUUUCAGAUUCUACAUGGUUCCUUUGAAAAAAAAACAUUAAUAGUAAUAAUAAAUACAAUAAUAAUAAUAAUAAUAACAAAACAAUAACAAUUCUAAUAAAACAACAACAAUAAUAGAAACAAUAAUGAUGAUAAUAAUAAUAAUACAGCAGGAGAACAUCUCGAGAACAUCACACCAGAGCUUCUCCACUAGAACCAGACAGAACAAGAAACUGAAACUAGCAGAACCUUUGUGAUGUUCUCCAGAUGUUCAGAAGAACAGCAGAACCUCCUCAGCUGAAUAAAGGAGGAACUGGAGAACCUCAUUGUGGAAUCUGAAUCUAACCUGUACAUAGUAAUCUGAUUACUGCUGGUGUUUACCGUAAAUAUCAAUGACGUAUAUAUAGAGCUAGACCGCUCACUGGUUGGUGGACAACAGCGGCGCCGUGGCAAAUCGGCGCUGACUUCCGGUAGUGGCAAGAAGCUAUGGAGUGCUGUUUGAUCCUGUGUGAAUACACCAACUUGAAGGCCUGCUUGUCAUCACUGAUGGGACAAUAUGUGUUAUGUUACAGCUUUUACUGUUAGCAGACAAUAAAAUCUCUGUCCUUGGCACGUUUUCACGGCAAUCACAGCGUUGUUUAGCCCUCACAGACAAGAAAAAACAAAGCACAAGGCAUGUUUCUACGGCAAUCACACUCGUAUAAUAGCAAACACAGAGCCUCCAUUCCACUAUCCUUCAUAUUUAGCCUCUUCACACGUUCUGCCUACAACAGAGACCACCACACAAUGAUAAUGAGUGCUGAAUGCUGAUGCAGUGAUUGUCAAUAAAAAAAAAUUUCAUACUUUCUGCA